rnacentral:lncRNA from 10 species
AAAUAAAAUGGUGCUGGUGGGUCCUUAAGGAAGAAAUGGAGAACUCAGCAUCUGUGGCUGCUGGGGUGUUGGAGGCCGGCAGUUCUCAGCUGGGUGGCUCUCUGGGACUUCUUCUCCCUUGAGGAAAGCUGCACUGCCCAAUUCCAAGUUCACUCCUCCUUCUAGGGGACAGCCCACAAGAAAGAUUGGCUGAAUUGAAAAUAGGAAGGCCACGCUUCUCUCCUCAAUUAAAAAACACUACAUGACGCUCUCAGCCCUUGGGAUCCUCCGCAGGAGCAGCUGGGUCUUUGUUCUACCUGCACUGUAGCUCAGCACCUCGCUCCUCCUACAGUCCUGCCUCCCCAUUUCCUGAGGCAUGCUGACCCUACAGCUCUUCAGGAUGCUUCCUGCAUUCCUGUAUCCAUCUCUAGUCUGCCUUACAGAGAAACUGACCUUGGUAAGUUGUCUGUAAAGCUUACUCUAAAAUAUAAAUUUGAAGCCUGAAUACUCAUCAGCUCGCAAUGAGGACCUCAGGGCUGGCAGUGAGUGGGGCUGGGCACCAUGGCUGGGAUGCAAUUGAUAAAACUUUCACUGGCAGUAAGCUGGGAUGGCGUAACCACAGGCAGGAAAUUCCUUGGCAUCAGGCUUUUGAAACAAAUUGGGAAAUGGUAGUUAUAAGGACUAACUUGUUCCAUGGCUAUCACUGGGCAUAUUUUUUUUGGGGAAAUAUGCUGAGAAGCUACGAGUGAUUGAUUAUGAGUUAAGGUUCAGCGUGAAAGCAAGAGGACUUCUUGGCAGCACUGCACUUUCUUAUCUCUUGUGGCUAGAGGGCAGAAAGAAUAGAGGGUUGGGCCCUGGACAUCAUUAAAAGAGUAGCAGAAUCACAGAGGAGGAUGAAUCUCAGCUUCAACGGUUGCUAUGCUGGGGUAGGGCCCUGAUGGGGAAGUUGUGGGACCCUGAGAUGUGGGAGUGGACAUUUGGGUCAAAGCACUCAAAGAUCUUCGGUUGACUUAAGAGUUGCUGGGUACAAUUGCAGCAGCAUAGCUACUUAUCUGUAUAAAAUAUCCUCCCCAAAUCAAAUAAAAAAUGAAAACAAAGUAAGUUCUGCACAACCCUGGCUCUCAGUAUUACUUGAAGAGAGAAAGCCAAACUGCAAAAUGACCGUGAGUCAAAACAGAACACUCACCUAACCCUAGUGCACAGUCUCUUACCCGGCUCCCACGCCACUGGUGCAGCACUUAUGUAACCACAAGGCAUCUUGCAUUUUACCUGCCAGCCUAGACAACUUAAAAUGCAUUUCCAGCCUUAGUACCUGAGCAAAGAUGCUACAUCUGGCAAACCGAAAGCACCCAAAAAUGCCAGCCCUGGUCCUGGUCCAAGCCAGUGGGUGGAUGAAUAACUGAAAAGCAAAUGCAAUCCAGUCUUGAUGGUGCAGUUUUACCUCCCUGAGAAGUAAAACUAUGAACCCUAGAAACAUCACAAGGAUCAGGAAUAGGAGAAAUUCCAAGGUGGGAGAGGAAGAAGGGAGACUGACUAGGGGCCUCAGGACUGAGGGACAGCCCUGCAGCCAGGCACCUGGGACCCAUCCCCCAACACCAGCCCCAGCCAUAAACGGAGGCAAAGGAAUGACAUAGAAAAGAGCAAAAGCCUCAAGUCAAUUAAAUCACCACUUCAAGAAACUAGAAAAAGUAGAGCAAAAUAAACUCAAAGCAAGCAGGAGACAGGAAUUAAUAAAAAGAAGAGUGCAAAAAAUGAAUAAACUGGAAACACAAAAACAAUUUAAAAACUCACGGAAACAAAGUGGUCCUUUGAAAAGACCAAUAAAAUGGAAAAAAACUAUAGCAAGGCUGAUGAAGAAGAAAACAGAAAUGGCAUAUUUUAGAUAUGAGGUUGAAACAGGGGAUAUCGCCAUAACCCUUCAGACACCAAAAAGAUAAUAAGGAGAUAUUAUGAACAACUCUACACACAAAAAUAUGACAACUUAGAUAAAAUGGACACAAAAUUCUUCAAAAGGCACGAGUUACCGGAACUCACCCAAUAUGAAAUGAAUAAUAUGAGUAACCCUAAACUACUGAGGAAAUUGAAUUUAUACUUUUAAAACACCCCCAAAAAUUCUUGAGGCCCAAGUGUUUCAAAGAAAAAUACUGCAAAGCAUUUAAAUAUGAAUUAAAACCAAAUUUAGUGCACAGAAAGAUAGUCAUAAAAGAAAUUUGAGGAAAAUUUGAAUGUAUACUCCAUUUUAGAUGAUAUAAGGGAAUUGUUUUAAUAAUUUUAUGAAAUUUAGUGAUUAAAAAUUUGAAAUUGUAUUAACUGUAAUAAUGAUACUGGUUUUGUUAUGCUGUCUUUAGUCAUAAGAUCACCCAACUAUGGAUUCCAUUUGGAACUGCGUGUACAUGCAUGACUGAGUUAGCUGUGGACAUGAUCACACGCCUUCCAUACAUCUCUGAUUAUAGAAGAUAUUUUUUGCCCUCCAUUUCCUAUAUUUACUCUUCCAGCAGACAGGGACAUGGAAAAAUCCGUGACCUAGCACUGACCCAGCAGAUAAGACUAACCACCAUAAGUACAGUUUUUGAAAGAAAAUGAAGUAGUUAAGGCUAAAGCUUUAACAUGGAGUCAAGCGUUUGUAAGAGCAUUGCACUCACACCUGCUAAAGGUCAAGCCACAGGAUGUUGCUGUAGACCUGGAUAACAAUGGACUGAAGUCAAGGUACAUGGGAUUUUGAUUUCUCUCAUCCUGGAGUGUCCUAAUUAAGUAACCAAUUCAUACGAGUUUGCAGUUUAGCAUUUCUGCCAGGCAAUGAACUGUUUUCAAAAACAACAUUUUGUGAAAGUCCCCAGUACAAAACUUUUCCUGCAUUGCCCUAUGGGACACUGUUCAGGACUACCAUGACUCAGGGUUCCCAAAUUGCAACUCUUUAUUUCCCAGAUAAAUGCUAUUUCCUUUGGCCUUCCUAUCAAUCAUUAUUUUUUUUAGUUAGCAGGUCUAAUCUGUGCCAAGUCCCAAAUUUGAAAAGAGGGAAGGUUUCUUGGAAUCUAGGUCUUCAGUUGGGCCAGGUUGGGUCCAAAAACAAUGAUCACUGAGUACUAAGAAAGCCAAAGGUGGGUGAUUUCUUCAUCGUUAAUUCAUUACAAGAGACAAAGAUCUAGGCCACCCCAACAGGCAGAAAUCUAUCCUGGGUCCUGAAAGCACACAAACUGGAGAAUCAGAAAAAUGAGGGUAGUUUCUCCCUGUAGAUGAGUCCUAAACGUGUCUCCAAAUUGCUAAUUAUUACCCUGCACCUCCUAUAGCAGUCAUCAGGAAACACAUAUUAGGCAUACUUGCAUUUGUAAAUAUUAACUUGCUCCCUACCACAUGCAAACAUUUUAUGGGCACAGUAAGAAGGGUGUCACUUGAAGAAGUCAAGUCAUCAAGACACCAGCAGCAUUGGGCAUCCCUAGAGGGCUGAGAGGCUGUAACCAGUUGCCAUUUAUUGAGGGCUUCUUGGGAGCCUGAUGCUGGCUGCUCCCUCUGUACCUCUCAGCUCUUUAAUCCUCCCUUUAUUGCCUUGAGGGGGUCCUCGUGUGAGUCCCUUAUAGGACCAGGGUCUGAGGGGACCCCAGCUAGCAAAGGGCCAAAAGUGGAUAAAAAACCCACCCUGGUAAGGUGAGGGAGGAUGAAGGCAAGCACGGAGCCUGGUAUGCAGCAGGUGCUUAAUAAAUGAGCCCUAUGGCUGUUAUCAAGAGGUUUGGUCAUUACUACUUCUGAAUCUACACACUUAUUCUUUAGGCAGCAGAACAUAGAGGAGUAGAAACACCAAGAAAAGGCUCAAAUCCUGCUCCCUGCAGCUCAUGAAAAACUCAAAUGAUAAUAAAAGCAAAACCACCAAGUCUGGACAACUGGCUUUCAAAAAAAAAUAAGAUCAUAGGUAAAGCUGGAAGCAUUUUGGAAGGAGGAGGGAACAGAGUCCUCUGUGACAUCUUUUUAUUAUUAUUAUUUUACUUUAAGUUCUGGGAUACAAGUGCAGAAUAUGCAGGUUUGUUUUAUAGGUUAUGUUUGCCAUGGUGGUUUGCUGCACUUAUCAACCCAUCAUCUAGAUUUUAAGCCCUGCAUGCAUUAGCUAUUUGUCCUAAUGCUCUCCUUCCCCUCACCCCCCCACCCCUUGACUGGCCCUGGUGUGUGUUGUUCCCCUCCCUGCGUCCAUGUGUUCACAUUGUGCAACUCCCACUUAUGAGUGAGAACAUGUGGUGUUUGCUUUUCUGUCCCUGUGUUAGUUUGCUGAGGAUAAUGGCUUCCAGCUUCAUCCAUGGCCCCGCAAAGGACAUGAACUCAUUCUUUUUUAUGGCUGCAUAGUAUUCCAUGGUGUAUAUGUACCACCUUUUCUUUGUCCAGUCUAUCACUGAUGGGCAUUUGGGUUGGUUUCAUGUCUUUGCUAUUGUAAAUAGUGCUGCAAUAAACAUACAUGUGCAUGUGUCCUCAUAGUAGAAUGAUUUAUAUUCCUUUGGUUACAUACCCAGUAAUGGGAUUGCUGGGUCAAAUGGUAUCUCUGGUUCUUGAUCCUUAAGGAGUCACCACACUGUCUUCCACAAUCGUUGAACUAAUUUACAUUCCCACCAAGAAUGUAAAAACGCUCCUAUUUUUCCACAGCAUCACCAGCAUCUAUUGUUUCCUAACUUUUUAAUAAUCACCAUUCUGACUGGCAUGAGAUGGUAUCUCAUUGUGGUUUUGAUUUUCAUUUCUCUAAUGAUCAGUGAUGUUGAGCUUUUUUUCAUAUGUUUGUUGGCCACAUAAAUGUCUUCUUUUGAGAAGUGUGUGUUCAUAUACUUUGCAUACUUUUUGAUGGGGUUGUUUGUUUUUUUCUUGUGAAUUUGUUUAAGUUCCUUGUAGAUUCUGGAUAUUAGACCUUUGUCAGAUGGGUAAAUUGCAAAAAUUUUCUCCCAUUCUGUAGGUUGCCUGUUCACUCUCAUGAUAGUUUCUAUUCCUGUGCAGAAUCUCUUUAGUUUAAUUAGAUACCAUUUGUCAACUUUCACUUUUGUUGCAAUUGCUUUUGGCAUUUUCGUCAUGAAGUCUUUGCCCAUGCCUAUGCCUGAAUGGUAUUGCCUAGGUUUUCUUCUAGGGUUUUUAUGGUUUUGGGUUUUACAUUUAAGUCUUUAACCCAUCUUCAGUUAAUUUUUGUAUAAGGUGUAAGGAAGGGGUCUGGUUUCAGUUUUCUGCAUAUGGCUAACCAGUUUUCCCAGUCCCAUUUAUUAAAUAG